UGUACCUGUAUCUUUUUCUAACCCACUCGGCUCGACACCGUUUCUCUCUCCCUAGUCCAUCCUCCGAUUGCGGCGGCGGCGGCGACGGCGACUGUGCCGGUGGGACAACCCGGAAGCGAGGGCUACUCUCCACCCUGGCGCGUGGUGUACUCCCCCAUUCCCUCUCUCAUGCUUGCAGGAGGCGAAGUGGACAGUGCAAAGAUCCGACGCGAGGUCGGGCGGCGACAACUGCCUUCUCCUGCGUCCAUCCGCACCUUCGUCGGUCUUCUCGCCGGAGCGGGGCAAAGAAAGAGCACGAAGGCCAAGAAAGGAUCCCGGGUUGCCCAAGAAGUUGCUCCUCAGGUUGCCACCGCACAAUGAGGAAGCAGUGGACGGGAAGGGUAGAGCUCCAUUUUGAUCUCAAGGGCAAAAUUUGGGGUUCGGCCCUAACAAGAGCCCUCAUUCUGUCCAACAAAAAGAAGCCCUUAUUCUGUACGCAGUUCAUCCUCACUUUUCUGCUAGAUUUCACCGUCACAUCAGCAAACCUAUGGACUAAAGGAAAUCACGCAACAAAAGAAAAAAAAUACAUUCCCUUCCCCUAAUAGUUCAACACUUCUUCAGACUUUAUGCAAAUAUUGUGAGUAUUGUUUCUAUCCUCUGAAGGUGUUAAGACUUAUAUCCCGAAUGCCAGUGCAGUAAUUAAUUAGAUUCUCGGAGUUGAAAGCAUUCAGUCAUGCUUAUUUUAAAUCUUUUCUCAUUGUAGUUCAUAUACCUGUCCGUGGAUCACUCAGGUGUCAUUUUUUUAAUAACUCAACUUUAGUUUGCCAGUAACUAGUUUCAAAAUGUUUUGAAAAUGCUACUUGCAUUUAGGAAGAGAAAAUAGUAUACUGAGAAGUACCUGCCAUGCCCCUAGCCCCCUACUAUGGUUUCAGCAUAGUUUAUGGUAUACUAACAAGUACCUACGAUACGAUGCCUUUGUAUUCUUUUACCUGGGCCCUUAUUUUAAUCUCAGCUGUAGUUAAUGGUAACAAGCACCUACGACGCCCCUAUUUUAUUUACCUGGGCCACUAAUAUAAUUUCAGCUCUAUUUGGUCUUUGGAAAUGGUAUAUCUGGAAAUAAAGAACUAUGCGUGUAAUUCUAUCAUUCUGCAAAUUAGUCAAUUUUGUAGUUUCUUUCUUUUCCUCAGUGAUAUGCCAAUAUGUUUCAACUCAGCGCAUGGAGUAAUUUAAUGGUCCUUCUCCUGUGAUUUACUAGAUUGUCAGCAAUGAUUCAAAAGGUCAGUUCCUUUAGACAUAGAUGUGGAAUAAAGCAUCAACCUAUUUAAUAAUGUAUCCAUCCAUCUAGCAACAGGUAGCGUAACAAGCAUAAGUAGAUAGUGACCCAGACAAAGAAACCCACUAAAGAGAUUGCAGGAGUAUUGGUGAGCGCUCUGAAUCUACAAAUUCCUUGAUCCAUUUUUACAUUAUGCAAGCAUAACAGAAGAGAUAAAAUGUAGACACUUUUAGGCACAUACCCCAAAUAUGCCUGGCGUUAGAUCCAGAUCAGUAAAUUAACAGUAUGCCAACUACACAUAGCAAUUCAGAUGAAAAAAAUGUAGACAUAAAAUGGGAGCACAGUAGCCAGACACUUUGAACUUCAAAUAUCAUAAACUCCUAUAUGAAAAGGGAAAUUCUGACUGAUGCUUGUGCAAUUUCUGUUAACAUCUAGUUUAAUUCUCUGUAUAUAUAUGCUAUGUAUAAGUAAAAAUAUGCAUGCGUUUGUUUUCCUCAGGGAAGAGCAUUCCUCUAUUUAUUUUAUCAUCUAAUUUAAUUCUCUUUAUGUAUACAUGUUAUAAGAAAAAAUCUGCAUGCGUGCUUUUCUCUAGCAAAGAGCAUUGCUCUAUUUAUCUCGGACCAUCAUGUCUCAUUCACUGGGUUGUUGGCAAGAAUAUAUCCAUGUUUUAAUGUUUUUCUGACUACAGUUUAUAGUUGUAAAAUCUGUCAUUAAGCUUCAGCAGUUCAAUCUUGCAAGCUUCUUUGAAGUGCGGUCUGCCUGAGAUUACCCCAUUGGCUUUGACUAAGAGUUCCAAUUAAUUGUUAGGUUGCUUAUCCUAAAGUUCAUGAUCCUGCAUGCGAGCAAAGGAUGUGAUAAGCGCAGUUUUGUCUCUGUAGUUUUCUAGACUUUAUUCAUCAUGACGAUUUUAUGGAGUCUGAACAAUGUGUAGCUGCAAGGGAGGUUCCAGGAAGACUUCAAGAUGCUAGGCAUCAUCCAUUUUGAGGUCGUUUUAGCAAGACCUGAUGUUUCAGUGCAUAUAGUGCAGUGUAACAUAUCAAGUCAGUUUGUUUCUGUAAUUAUACGGCCUUGUCCAUAUGUUUUACCCCAACCAUCAGUAUUUUGCAUGAUGCCCUAGGUAAUUUGUGUUCAGAAAUUGACAUUGUGUAUCUGCAUACUUGGCUGGCAAUAUCAUUACCUGACAGCCUCCGGACACAUUCCUAUAGAAUCUUAAUUCUCAAAAAAGAAACCCUAUAACCUUCGGAGUUAUUUCAUUCCUCAAAAGUAUACUUUUGUUGCAGGGGUAGUAUAUUGGAAAUCAGGGGCAGAGCUCAGCCACCAGCUCCAUCUACUCGCACGAACAACAAUUUUUGCACACAUGUGCGCAACUGUAUUUGCUUUCGUACCAAUAACUGGAAAGAUAAUAUUAAUCUCCUUGAUUUCACCGACAAUUGCAGCAUAUGACGCCAAUAUAAAUUGUCCUGCCAGUUCUUUAACAGAAUUAGGAGUCAGGUUCCCAAACAAUUAUCUGAAACUUACCUUCUCUGACCAUCCUCACCUUAACUUUACAUCGCACCCGCCUUGCGAGAAGGACAGGUUACUCGGCUCCGUGUCGUAAUUUUGCCUCACAAGCGUUUUGUUUCUAUGGUGGAUGUGGCACCCACUCGAAUAUAAUUUUACCUCAGACAACUUUUGUUUCUUACGGUGGUUGUGGUGUGGUGUAAUUUUACCUCAGACACCUUUUGUCUCUUACGAUGGUUGUGGCGUGGUGUGUGUAGCUCGUACAGGGUGGCUGGGGUGAGGAAUAAGAAUUCCUCACCCAGGGUGAUGAAUAGCGCGACCCUAGAAAUUCUAUUAAUAACCCAGGGUGAAGAAUAAGUAAUUCUUCACCCUGGUCGGUCGAUCGAGCUGGAUAGCCGAUUCCUCCGUCGCACCGUGGGGUGGUGUAAUUUUACCUUUUCUUUAUGACGGUUCCUCCUUUUGCUUUUUUUUGCUUGGUCGUGCGGUUUGGAUCAUGCCCACUACCAGCCGAAUUAACAAAAAAAAAGAUCCCAGGGACGAACAGCGGCGGCGAGCGGUCUGGGGCUAGGCGAGCGGCGGCCGUCGUCCGGCAGCGAUACGAGUGGGCCCGGCGGGAGCUCGGACUCCAGCGCCAUUCUCUCAAGCCCGGUGUGGUGGGACGAUGCCUCGCCAGCAACAAACACCUGGCCACAGUCGGGCGCAGUCCGCGACUCAGGGGUUGGAGGCGUCCUCGUCUAGCCGACGAGCUGGUUAUGGUCGGGCGGGCAGCGCGUCGUGGCUGCUGCGUGAAGAGAUGGCUAACCAACAAAGGCAGGAGAUUCCAGCGACAGAUUUGAGGUCGGCGCCUCAUGAAGGCAUGCUCCUUGCCGGGAGAGGCAGGGGCAUCCUUUCUUGGUCUGCAGCUUUCACCUCUGUUGCUUCAGAUAGCGGCACAAGUGGAGCAGGCGGCUGCAAUGGAUUUUAUACUAUGAAAAGUAGCUUCCUGAUGAAUCAGAUGUACUUCUGUGUGGUGCUCCAGCUGAUUCGUCGCUUGUCAGCCUGUCAUGGAUAAUCGGUGCAUGGUAGGAAGUACAAUGGCAAAACGAGGACGGACUGAAGGCAGCGGAUUCCGUGUUGGUCGGAGGGGAAGACAUUGUCUUUAUCUAAGUGCCUCCUGCAACCAUCUCCUUGUAGCCUCAGAUAAUGACUUCAGAUGGAGAGGGCCGUAUAAAUGGCAUGCCCAAUGUUUCACUGACCUCAAGCAGGGAGCCACCAUUACCUUGUGUUCGGAUUGGUUACCAUAAUCAAAUCCUUUUUUGCCCAUUUAAAUUAGUGGCUCGAUUUCGUUAAUAAUUGAGUUUGAUUGGAAGUAUAUACUCCAGUGUCUUCGUUGUUCUGUUUUAUAAUCCAAUUGCCAGGAUGUUUGCUAUAUUUUUAGUAUGUAGAUCGUAGGGACAUUACUGUAGUACAAAUGUCUUCUAUACAAGUUAUGCAGUCAA